rnacentral:rRNA from 1 species
CCCCUUCGGGGGGUACACGAGUGGCGCACGGGUGAGUAACACGUGGGUAAUCUACCUUCAGGUCUGGGACAACUCCGGGAAACUGGAGCUAAUACCGGAUGAGACCACGAGGUCCUCGGACUUCGCGGGAAAAGAUGGCCUCUCCUUGGAAGCUAUCGCCUGCCGAUGAGCCCGCGCCCCAUUAGCUAGUUGGUGAGGUAACGGCUCACCAAGGCGACGAUGGGUAGCUGGUCUGAGAGGACGACCAGCCACACUGGAACUGAGACACGGUCCAGACUCCUACGGGAGGCAGCAGUCGGGAAUCUUGGGCAAUGGGCGAAAGCCUGACCCAGCAACGCCGCGUGAGGGAUGAAGGCCCUCGGGUCGUAAACCUCUGUCGGAAGGGAAGAACGACCGCAAGGUGAAUAAUCUUGGGGUCUGACGGUACCUUCAAAGGAAGCGCCGGCUAACUCCGUGCCAGCAGCCGCGGUAAUACGGAGGGCGCAAGCGUUGUUCGGAAUCAUUGGGCGUAAAGCGCGUGUAGGCGGCUUGGCAAGUCGGGUGUGAAAUCCCGGGGCUCAACCCCGGAACUGCAUUCGAUACUGCCUGGCUAGAGUCCCGGAGAGGAGGGCGGAAUUCCCGGUGUAGAGGUGAAAUUCGUAGAUAUCGGGAGGAACACCAGUGGCGAAGGCGGCCCUCUGGACGGUGACUGACGCUGAGAUGCGAAAGCGUGGGGAGCAAACAGGA